rnacentral:rRNA from 1 species
AAAUUUGUUCCAUUAUAAGCCUUGCAUGUCUAUGUAUAUUCUCUACACUGUUAAAGUGCGAAUGGGUCAGUCCUCCAAUAGCCUCAGUCUAGUUACAAUUUAUCUCGCAGCUGCCAAUGGCUCAUUUUGUCGGCUUUACUUUUUUGAUCCCUUUUACUUCUUGGAUCACCGUAUUAAUUCUAAUACUACUUCCUGCCCCCCUCCUACUGCGAUAACUCAUUCAAAUUUCUGCCCUAUCAUGCUCUCGAUGGUAGUGUAUUGGACUACCAUGGCUCUCACGGGUAACGGGGAAUUAUGGUUCGAUUCCCGAAAAGGAGCCUGACAAACGGCUACUACAUCUAAGGAACGCAGCAGGAGCGUAAAUUACCCAAUCCUGAAUCAGGGAGGUAGUGACAAGAUAUAACAACACGAUCAAAAGUGGUGAUUGUAGUGAGGGUUUUCCAAACCGAACUACUCGUACCAUUGGAGGGCAAGUCGGGUGCCAGCAGCCUCGGUAACUC